CUGGAGUCCGGAAUGAGUCACUCUAAACCAUUUCUUCUGUAUACACUCUUAAACCUUUCCUUCUCCACCUAUUUCUAAUUAGACAUUGUUGGCAGGUGAAUGGCGUGGGCGUGGAAAGAAGGCUCGGAAGUCAUACGGAUUCGGAAGCGGCACGGGCACGAAGAAUGCUCGACUUGCGGGCAAGAUGCGCAACCUCUCGCGACAAUACUAUAAGGAAGCCGACCAACUCUUCGGUGAGAUUGCAUCCGCAGAGCUGAUUCAAGCGUUCGAAUUGUAGCAGUGAUCAGCCAAAGCUUCGCAUACGCUGGAGUCCAGAAUGAGCCAUUUUAACCCAUUUCUUCUUUAUUCUCGCUUAGACUUUUUUCUUCUCCACCUGUUUCCGACUAGAAAUUCUUGACAGGUGAAUGGCGUGGGCGCGGAAAGGAGACUCGGAAGUGAUACGGAUUCGGAAGCGGCACAGGCACGAAGAAUGCUCGACUUGCGGGCAAGAUGAGCAACCUCUCGCGGCAAUACUAUAAGGAAGCCGAUCAACUCUUCGACUUUUAGAUUGCUCGAGGCGUUGCAAAUUUUGGGGAUAGGCUUGCCAACUCCUGUCCCUUACCAUUGAUU